AGCGAACGCUGGCGGCAGGCCUAACACAUGCAAGUCGAACGAAGUCUUCGGACUUAGUGGCGGACGGGUGAGUAACACGUGGGAACGUGCCUUUAGGUUCGGAAUAACUCAGGGAAACUUGUGCUAAUACCGAAUGUGCCCUUAGGGGGAAAGAUUUAUCGCCUUUAGAGCGACCCGCGUCUGAUUAGCUAGUUGGUGAGGUAAAGGCUCACCAAGGCGACGAUCAGUAGCUGGUCUGAGAGGAUGAUCAGCCACAUUGGGACUGAGACACGGCCCAAACUCCUACGGGAGGCAGCAGUGGGGAAUCUUGCGCAAUGGGCGAAAGCCUGACGCAGCCAUGCCGCGUGAAUGAUGAAGGUCUUAGGAUUGUAAAAUUCUUUCACCGGGGGCGAUAAUGACGGUACCCGGAGAAGAAGCCCCGGCUAACUUCGUGCCAGCCGCCGCCGUAAAAC
rnacentral:rRNA from 1 species